CACAAAUUGUCAUAAUUCUAGCCCUUAUUAAUUAAUUGCCAAUAAUUACACUUUUAAGAGGACCUAGACCUGUAUUUAAUUGCCUUAUAUUUAGAAUCAGCAGAUUUCUACCUGCAGCAUUCUUUCCUAUUUUUUCUUUUGCUUGGUAAGGCAAAUAUUGAUGGAAAAUAUAAUGAUGUACUGCAUAAAUUAGAAAAGGGGUGUUGGAUCCUCUAUCCAUUCCAGAGUGUUGCAGUGCAUUGUUGUUCAUUAUAUUUGAUUCAAUUACAUUCUUUAUUGUUAAGUUGUACCCCUCCCCAUGUUAAUACGUUGGUCCCAAUCGUGCCCUCCUACCCCAGUUGCCAAUCCACCCUGAUACCUGCCCCUUGUUCCCGAAUGUUCCCUGUUCCCCCUCCCAUUAAGCUGUCAAUCCUCCCUUGUGCCAACCCCCGGCUGGACCGCCCCCUUUUGAAUUCCCCUAUUCCUCUGAGCCCCCAUUGGCCCAUGUGCCCCACUCUCCUCCCCUGGUGUUCCCCAUUGGUUUGUGUAUUAUGUAACCCCGCCUUGUGCUCCUCCCCUAAGUCUUCCCUAUUGGUUUAUUAUUUGUACACUCCCCUUGCUCCUCCCCCACACAUAAGUUGCUGUACCCCUGCAUCUUUUGUCUUUCUUCCCUGGAACCUUCGAGAGAAUAAAUCCCUUUUGGAAACCACAGGGAAGACCUCUCCCUCGUCCUUGCUCCUGCCCUCGACGCUGGACAGCCACUGCUGUAGAGCAUCAGCCCUAAGCUGCUCUGCUUUCCAGGAGCAGCCCUCUCUUGGCUCGGUGCCGGGAGCUGGCUGGGGAAAAACCCAGCUCCACGUCACCAGAGAAACUGUCUUAGACAUUCUGCUCUUUGCAUUAAAUAUUAAUUUAUAAUUAGUUAUAAUUCUGUAAUUAAUUAUACCUCUUCCCAUAAACAGCUACAUCUUGUCUGAAUUCAUAAUAUUCAGUCAGUUUUCAUCAGACAUAAAUAAAUCUGCAAAACUUCAUCAACCAGUCACUGUCCCAUUAGAAUGGGCCCCACUGGAUAAUCUUUGAUGUUACUAACUACAAAAUUAUGUUCCAUUUUGGUUUGAGGUUUCUUUUCCUUAGAGGAGAUGCAUCCCUUUUUUAGUAGAAUAAAAAGCAUCUGCUAAUCAGUGGGAAGGCACCUGAAGCCAAGCAUGGCUGUCUCCACAUUUCCCCCAUGGCAAGGUGGUUCUGGAUUGCACGCUCCCUGGCAGUGAUCAGGUGUCAGCAUUUUCCUGACUUGGGUCAAGAUCAAACCUUCCGUUUGGUCCUGCAAGACAGGUGGUACCUGGAUCAGCACUGCCUGUGUAUUCACAGAUCUUAGUAUAAGCAAAAAUAACUCUGCAAGACAUUCCUGCAGAUGGCUUUUAAUUUGGUAUUGAUUUGAUGGGCUCACCCCAGCCUAGGAUUCUUUGUAUUUGCUGUACUGUUUAAACUGGUUUGGGCUUUUAGUUCAUCCAGUCUCCACCCAGGAGCAGUGUUUUUUGAUAAAGUUAUCAGUGUGGCUAUUUUCAGUAUUUUCUCAGCUAAGAGCUGAAUACAAAAUUUGUUUCCUAUUAAGUACCUCUUUUAAUCAGUUUAAUUGUUUAUAUUCUCCCCCAAAGAAACUCUGAAUGUUGGAUGGUACCUUUAGUAGAAAGAACCAAAACUGCAGAUUAUCCUGGACCCAUCUGUGGUUGUAGCUGGCUGCUGAAGCAGUCAGGUUAUUUAAUCCCAAAUGGUGGUUCUGUAUAUUCUAAACAGUCCAACUGUUGUGUGCUUUCCUACUGGUUUCUAAGGAAGUCAGGCUCUCAACAGUAUUCUCAGGCACCUUCUGAAAUAUGUUUUAUGAGAAAUGCAAAAAUCCACUUGUAUUUCUUUCAGUGUUACACAGUAAAUUUAGCUGCCAGAGUAGAUGGCAGCUGGGAGGCAAGUUCUCUAAUUUGUAUUCAUGGGAUAGAGGUGAUACUCUCUGUUCUCUCUGACUGCAGGGAAUAUUGCUUGCCAGUCAUCUGCAGUGGAAUCCAAUUUGAGUAAGGUCCUGCAUCUCUGUUUUCGCAGACACCACUAAAAUGAAGCCAACCUGUCUUUCAUGUUAAUCUUUGAGUCCUCAGUAGCUGUAAACUUUAUAGCAAGGGAAUUAAGGCCUAAUAAUGAUCAUUCUUCCCUUUAAGAUCCACACAGAAACAUGUCCAAGCCCAAAGCAAGGCAAGAUUCCAGCCUUUCACCCAGGCACUGGAAGGGCUGGUUCCAGCCUGGGGUGGUUUGUGGCCUGGAGACACGUGGGCCAUUCCUGCAGGACCUGGUAACCCAACCCUCAGAGCUGGGCACCAAGCACCUCUGUGCAAGAAAUGACACAAGUUGUGAUGUCCCUGCACCCAGCUGUGUGCUCAGAGUCCCACUGGAUACAUCUCAUGAACUGACAACAGCAUCCAAACAAAGGAUUUGGAUUGUCACUAGACUUGCCAUUUAUCCAGAUGGUAGUGCAGACCCUAUUCUCAGAAUCCUUUUUUGCUGCUGCCUGUGCACUUCGUUUCUGGUACAAUAAGGAAGUGGUCUGGAUGAGAGGCAUGUUUGGGAGUCCAGCCUCAAGUCACCCUGGCUCAAAAGUGGUGAACAACAGCUUAAAUUGAGCAGGGUGUGGAUCCCUGCAGAUCCCGGCAGUAGCGGGGAGCUCCCGCCGGGCGGCACUUCAGGACUUCGGUACCGUCGGCAGCGACUCCAGGGAGUGGCUCUCCCGAACAGCUUUUGCAUUCCCUUUGCGCAUUUUAUUUCCUUAUUUUUGUGUGAGUUAACAAGGAUAAUUUUUUUUUGCUUCUGCAGUGAUUUUUUUUUUCCUACUUAAUCUCUUAAACUCUAGAAUUGAUUCAUGUUAAUAUUAAUAAUUUAAGGGAAAUAAGCCUUUUCACGGUCUAAUCACACCAGCAUUGAGAAGUGACAGUUGCCUCUGAAUAAAGGAUGGCAUGAUUGGCAGGAUUACCUUCAGGCAAGGGGAGAUCUGGAGAAGUGGAAUAGUGUGAAACUUCAUCUCUCUCCCAUGCUGUUCGGAUUAUUUAUCAAAGUAUGUGAAGAUCAAAAAAAAAUCAAGGGAAAUGCAUGCAUGUAAAUUAUUAACAGCCUGCCUCAGAGGAUGAGCAGAUUUUGUUCAUACUGUAUUAACUAUAACAAAUUUUAUUACAUAUUCAAAGAAAAAGAAAUAGAAGUUACAACUGCAACAUGGUAGUAAAUAAUGAGUGAAAUAAUCUCAUAAGAAACUAUUAUCUACAAAAUAACAUUGUAAAUAUAAGAAAAAUAUUGUCAAGAAAGCAUCUGACAUUCAGGGAGCUACUUGUUUAUUUUUUAUUUAUAUUGUUGACUCUUAAGAGGUUGAAAUGGAAUGCCUGCUGUAGCCCAAACAACAAUAUUCUGGUGUGAGCCAUCUGUAACCGAGAUCUCUAAUGCAGGCCACCAACAAGAAUAAAGACUGGUUCAUGAAUCAGUAGCACAAAAGCAAAUCUUUAUUUGCUGUUGCUCAGCAACCAUGUGCAAAAGGCCCAUUUUUCAUUUUUACCGUAACUUGACAGGAAAAUGAUAAUAAAUAUUAGAUUAUUAUCACAGGGUAUAGAUUAUUUUGAACAGAUGAACAGAUAUGUCAAAGAGAGGCAUGUAAUUUGGUCCUCUUGAAAGGAAGAAUAUUAGAGAAACUGAAAAUAGAGCUGUAGGUUUAUUACUGGCUUGCAGUUUAUGCUCAGUUCUUGAAAAAACCUAGAGAAAAUUAUUCUGCCUCUCUUGUUUCUCUAUGUGGUCCUUUAAAAUGAAUCACUUGGUGUUAUUCAGCUUGUCGUUAUCUGUAUCAACUUCUAGUUUCAAUACUAUGAAAAAAAAUCAUUCUGUGAUUGCUAUGCAACAGAAAUUAAAAGCUAAAAUAUGUUUUAGUUUGUUUGCUAAAUGGAUAUGUGCCUAACUAAAUAAACAGUAACCAGGUGACUAAUGUAGCAUCUAAUUAAAGACUAAUCAAGGUAUUAAUGAAAUAUUCAGUCUACCUGAGUCAUGAUAAAUAAAUCCAUCAGUUUGGAUCUAAAAUGGCAAAGAUUUUUAAUAUAUGCAGAAAAUUUAAUAUAGGCAGACAUAUAUUAUAUGUAUAUAUAAUAUACAUUAACAUAAUGUAUAAAUGUCAGGUGGUAUACUUCUUCAUUUGUUUUUACAAUUCUGCAGGUAUGCUGAUUGCUCAUGCAACUUACUCCAAGCAAACUGUUUCACAGGCUCCUUGCACUUAGUUGAACUUGGGAAAUAGUCAGGUAUACAGCAUCUGAAACAAGCUGGAUUCUUACAUCAAAUAAAUGUGGCAGAAAAUGAAAAGAUCUUAAUUUUUAAUAUAAACUGAAACUGUGAAAGGCAGGGCUAUUAGGGAAGGUUAUAUAUUAAAAAAUAAAACAGCAGAAGAUGUAAAUGCUACUUUUAAAGGAGUG